rnacentral:rRNA from 1 species
UACGUAGGCAGCAAGCGUUGUUCGGAAUUACUGGGCGUAAAGAGUGUGUAGGCGGUGCUCCAAGUCUGGUGUGAAAUCUCCCGGCUUAACUGGGAGGGUGCAUUAGAAACUGGAAUGCUAGAGGAUGGGAGAGGUAAGCGGAAUUCCUGGUGUAGCGGUGAAAUGCGUAGAUACCAGGAGGAACACCUGUGGUGUAGACAGCUUACUGGACCAUUUCUGACGCUGAGACACGAAAGCGUGGGUAGCAAACAGG